GACGAACGCUGGCGGCGUGCCUAAUACAUGCAAGUAGAACGCUGAAGGAGGAGCUUGCUCUUCUGGAUGAGUUGCGAACGGGUGAGUAACGCGUAGGUAACCUGCCUGGUAGCGGGGGAUAACUAUUGGAAACGAUAGCUAAUACCGCAUAAGAGUAGAUGUUGCAUGACAUUUACUUAAAAGUUGCAAUUGCAUCACUACCAGAUGGACCUGCGUUGUAUUAGCUAGUUGGUGGGGUAACGGCUUACCAAGGCGACGAUACAUAGCCGACCUGAGAGGGUGAUCGGCCACACUGGGACUGAGACACGGCCCAGACUCCUACGGGAGGCAGCAGUAGGGAAUCUUCGGCAAUGGACGGAAGUCUGACCGAGCAACGCCGCGUGAGUGAAGAAGGUUUUCGGAUCGUAAAGCUCUGUUGUAAGAGAAGAACGAGUGUGAGAGUGGAAAGUUCACACUGUGACGGUAUCUUACCAGAAAGGGACGGCUAACUACGUG
rnacentral:rRNA from 1 species